UACGGAGGGGGCAAGCGUUGCUCGGAAUCACUGGGCGUAAAGCGCACGUAGGCGGAUUGCUAAGUCAGGGGUGAAAUCCUGGAGCUCAACUCCAGAACUGCCUUUGAUACUGGCGAUCUUGAGUCCGGGAGAGGUGAGUGGAACUGCGAGUGUAGAGGUGAAAUUCGUAGAUAUUCGCAAGAACACCAGUGGCGAAGGCGGCUCACUGGCCCGGUACUGACGCUGAGGUGCGAAAGCGUGGGGAGCAAACAGG
rnacentral:rRNA from 1 species